CACCGCGGUUAUACGAGGGGCCCAAAUUGAUAUACCACGGCGUAAAGUGUGAUUAGAGAUAACUUUAAACUAAAGUCAAACACCCCUUAUGCUGUCAUACGCCAUGGGGGACACGAAGCUCAACAACGAAAGUGACUUUAAAAAACUUGAACUCACGACAGCUAGGACA
rnacentral:rRNA from 1 species